AGGCCUUUCCGUGCUCCUCCUCCUUCUAUCCCGAUCACCUUCUUCUUCUUCAAGUAAAAGUCUGAGCACGGGCGCGAUGGCGGCUGACGGGGGAGAAGACAUGGAUGCUCUUUGCGAUCCAGAUUUGGGCUACUUGGCGCGGCCGUGAACUGCCCUCGCCCAAACUAAGGUAAACAGCUGUGUGAAUGAGGAUAUGCAAGAUAUGUGCUUUGGAAGCCAAGAAGCUCUGUUCAUGCAGCCAAACUUUUCUUAUGUGGCGCUGUUGAAGGGAUAUAUUGACCUAAAUGCUGGCUCUCAUACAAUCAAUACCCAGGGGCAGGAGUCGUGCUUGUGUGCUGCUGACAUUGGUCAAACAAGUGAUGCGAGUGAACCUCUGCUACAUUUACAACAAAAAAAGGCGGCUCAGGUCUUGGGUGGCAACAACACAUCCAACGGCACACCAAGCCUUCAGGAUUUAGGCAUGAUGGGUGACUUUGUUGACGACCAGGACAAUUCUCCUGUGCAAAUGGAGGAUCUAGAUGCACAAACAACAGAUUUUCAAUUAUUCAAGGGAGGGGAUGAUAUAUCGUUUGAUGACUGUCAAGGAGAUGGAUGCCAACCCUCUUUGAUGAUAUUAGCUUGGAUCAGUACAACACCUGCAGGUUGAUACAAACAAUGAAAGAAGAGACGGGUCUUCUGAGAGGGAGCAAAAUCAUAGCUGGAAUCUUGAUUCGCCGACAUGUGUGCAAGCUGGUUCCUCCAGACAGUCUCGAGAGGAAGGAACAUCAACUGAUGCAUGCCAUCUGCAAGUGCAAGACAACGAGAAUGAAGAUAAUGAAAUCAAUGAAGAAUCAAUAGAAGUUUGUUUGGAAAAUGAAAGACGGGCCGCAGAAGGAGGGAACGAUAGAACAAUUGAUAGGGAGCUGAAACCUGAAACAGGGAUGCAUUUUGCUACGAGGGAAGAAGCUCAAAAGUUCUUAAACUUCUAUGCCUUUGUUGCUGGUUUCUCCAUAUCUGUUGUGUCGACUGCCCGCACAACCAGCAAAAAAAGGACAGAGAAGUUACAAGGGUAACACUGAAAUGCAACAAGUAUGGGCAUAAUACAGAGGCUGAAAUUGAAAACUUGUCUGUGCAAAGAAAAAGCACUGUCAUAGCGAAGACAGACUGCAAAGCACAAAUGCUAAUUGCUUUGAAAGAUGGAAGAUGGCGUAUAACUAACCUCAAUCUUGAUCAUAACCAUGAGCUCAACCCUGGUAGUAGGUUUUUUAGAUCUCAUGUUUACAUGUCCGAUGAAGAGAAAGCAUUGAUCAGAACAAUGAAAAAGUGCAACAUACCUACGAGGAAGAUAGUGGCAGUGUUGGCGUACAUAAGACGAGGAAUGGACAAGUUACCGUACAACAAAAGGAAAGUGAGUAACUAUGGUACAACGGUAAACAGAGAACUGGAAAACAGUGAUGUCAUGGAAGUGCAGCAAUACUUCCAGAAGAAACAAGCUGAGAGCCCUAGAUUUUGCUACUCAAUGGAAGUAGAUGCAAAAAACAAGGUCAGGAGCGUGUUUUGGACAGAUGCUAGAUCUAGAAUAAUGUACCAAGAGUAUGGGGACUGCAUUAGCUUUGACACAACAUUCCUAACAAACAAGUACAACUUGCCGUUUGCACCAUUCGUUGGUGUUUCUCCACAUGGGAAGACAUACUUGUUUGCUUGUGCCCUUAUUAUCGAUGAAACUGCUAACACAUUCAAGUGGUUGUUCCAGCAGUUCUUAGCAGCAAUGGGAGGCAAGGCACCCAAAACAAUAAUAACUGACCAAGACAGAGGAAUGGAAAAGGCAAUAAAAGUUGUGUUUCCACAAGCAACACACAGAACAUGCUUGUUCCAUGUGAUGAAAAAAGCCGAAGAGAAAGGGUGCAGAGUGUUUCAACUGAAUCAAGGACUAUAUGAGGACUUUCACGACAUAGUGAAUAACUCAUUGACAGAGAGAGAGAGUUUGAAACACUAUGGCAAACAAUGAUUGAAACUUACAAUGUGGGUGAGGUGAAAAUUUUCCAAGACAUGUGGGAAGCAAGGAAAAAAUUUGUGCCAGUGUACUUCAAGACAAAGUUUUUCCCAUUCAUCCAAACAACAUCUAGGAGUGAGGGCACAAAUGCUUUGUUCAAGAAGGGGGUUGGUGCACAGUUCAGCAUGACAAGCUUCCUACGAGAAUAUCAGAGAAUACUAGACAACAUCCAUGCAAAUGAGGAUGAGCUUGACCAUAAUAAAGCACAAAAAAGUUUCCUGGAAAUCAUUCAACACUAAGUACUACAUCGAGAGACAAGCACACAGCCUGUACAACAUAAGCAUCUUCAGAAAAAUUUCAGCUCAUUCUCAAUGAUGUAACAAGAUUGCAAAUCAGAGAAAAGGAAAAAAUGAAACUAUACAUGGUGUACCAAGCAAAGAACUACUACAAACAAGAACACAGGACAAGGCUUUAUGUGGUGCAAGUGGAUACUGAGAAAGAAGAUUACUCCUGCAUUUGUUGCAAGUUUGAAAAGGAUGGCAUUUUGUGCUCUCAUAUUCUAAAAGUCAUGUUGCACCUUGAGGUGGAUAAGAUACCAGACAAAUACAUAAUAGACAGGUGGAGGAAACAAGGCCAGAAAAUGAAUAAACCCAAGGCAAUUCCACUCAGAUUAGAUAAUGAUGAACUGAGAUACAAUGUCCUAGGCAUGAAGCUAGUGGAGCUUGGCUCAAACGCUUCAAAGAGUCAAAGGAAGUUUGAAUACCUGCUAUCAGAAAUGUUCAGGAUUCAACAACACUUAAUUGAUAUGGAUAGAGAAGGAGAAGAAGAGAUGGAUGGGCAAGGAGAACAAAUAUAGGAGAGCAACAGAUCCAACAAGACAAUAGGCACACUGACAACUAUGGCACAGAGUGGUGGCAGCAAUUCAACUAUUGAGCUAUUGAAUCCUGAUAAGGCGCACACAAAAGGGCGCCCACGAAUGAUGACCAUACAAGAACGCAUAAAAAACAAGACAUUCUACAAGUGCAGCCACUGUAAUGAUCCGGGUCACACAAAAAGGAAAUGCACUAAUCUGGAUAAAGUAUACGACAUCCCAAAAAAUAAGAGAUCAAGGAAGACAAGCCAGCCAAGAUCAGCUGAUGGAGGGCGAGGGCGAUAGAACGCUACCAACAAAGAGAUCAACGCCACCAACAUACCUAUCAAUGAGGUCUCCCAACUACAGCAAUGACGUGGCUCCUACCCUGCAACUCUAACUCCCUCUGCUCGUACCCUGCAUGGAUAGAGAACAAAGGAGUAGUCAGGACUAUUUACAUUUUCUGAUUGCACAAACUUCAUGUAAGAAAAAAAGAUUGAGAGAAAAAAGAAUGUUUACAAAAAAUAUGUGAAAACCCUUAUUAGAAGCAAAGAAUAUGAACAAAAAUGAGUGUGAUGUUUUCAUGUUAUUUGAUAUAGAUGCGAACAGGGACUGAUUGUAGACAUCUUUGUUAG